rnacentral:rRNA from 1 species
UGGCGGCGUGCUUAACACAUGCAAGUCGAACGGUGAAGCAGAGCUUGCUCUGUGGAUCAGUGGCGAACGGGUGAGUAACACGUGAGCAACCUGCCCUGGACUCUGGGAUAAGCGCUGGAAACGGCGUCUAAUACUGGAUACGAGACGUGGCCGCAUGGUCAACGUUUGGAAAGAUUUUUUGGUUCAGGAUGGGCUCGCGGCCUAUCAGCUUGUUGGUGAGGUAAUGGCUCACCAAGGCGUCGACGGGUAGCCGGCCUGAGAGGGUGACCGGCCACACUGGGACUGAGACACGGCCCAGACUCCUACGGGAGGCAGCAGUGGGGAAUAUUGCACAAUGGGCGAAAGCCUGAUGCAGCAACGCCGCGUGAGGGAUGACGGCCUUCGGGUUGUAAACCUCUUUUAGCAAGGAAGAAGCGAAAGUGACGGUACUUGCAGAAAAAGCGCCGGCUAACUACGUGCCAGCAGCCGCGGUAAUACGUAGGGCGCAAGCGUUAUCCGGAAUUAUUGGGCGUAAAGAGCUCGUAGGCGGUUUGUCGCGUCUGCUGUGAAAUCCCGAGGCUCAACCUCGGGUCUGCAGUGGGUACGGGCAGACUAGAGUGCGGUAGGGGAGAUUGGAAUUCCUGGUGUAGCGGUGGAAUGCGCAGAUAUCAGGAGGAACACCGAUGGCGAAGGCAGAUCUCUGGGCCGUAACUGACGCUGAGGAGCGAAAGGGUGGGGAGCAAACAGGCUUAGAUACCCUGGUAGUCCACCCCGUAAACGUUGGGAACUAGUUGUGGGGACCAUUCCACGGUUUCCGUGACGCAGCUAACGCA